UGAACUUAGGUAAGCAAUGAAUUCGGAUCUGUAUGUGGGCACUUGGAUUCGAAGGAGCUAGUAGUGCAACCGGACCACCUUUCU
rfam:Paenibacillus sp. TNCCL117 genome assembly, contig: FG16DRAFT_scaffold00003.3